ensembl:lncRNA
AUGUAAAUAUAACAAUUAAUAAUUAACAAUAUUUUAACAUGUAAAUUUCUACUUAAUGUUACUAAAUUGCAAGAUGUCUAGAUGCAUAAGCAUAAUUUUCUUUAAGCAAAUUUUUUUUAUUAUUGUUUUAUGUUACAACCUUGACAUGUUCUCCACAUUUCUUACAUCAUAUUUCAUCCUCACCCCCUCCCGGAAAUAUAUAAUAUAGUAAAUUAAUCUAAGUCUAAAUUAAGUCUACAUUACACUUUUUUACACUGUCAUUUGAUUUUGCAGUAAAAUGCAACAUUAACAUGUUCUUCACAGGUUUGUGAGACUCACCCUUCGAAAACUCACAUUCUUUUAAGUGAACAUUACUAGAGGACAAGGCAACAUAUGUAUCAUGCAUGUUGCCAGGUUAAAUCUGAGAUAGGAGCUGAGUGUUGCUCCAUGACAUUUCUGACCAUGUUGUCUUUAUACUGUCACUGAGCUGUAAUGUUGCCAUCUUACGUCCAUGAAACCGACUCCUUUGACAUAGACAAGCAGUGUGCUUUGAGUUUGGCCCAGCAGAAUGUAUCUUUCUCAAUGGAAGUUUAGUUGUCGAUUCGCCAUCUCAUGACACGAAAGGUGGCGUGUAGUUUCCGCUAGGAAUAUCGUGCGUGGCUUUUAUUACCCGUCUUCCUAGAUUAUGUGGUGUACACAUAUGCAGACGUUGUACGAUCAUGACACUGCAACAGAUUUAUUUCAAAAUUACAGCAAUAGCUUGCAGUCAAAAGCACUACUGCGACGGUUUCCAAAGCUUGGUGCGAACUGUAUUCGCUUUCUUUCGCUUCUUUGCUUCUUUCUUUGUGACAUAGUUGCUUUAAACUAUUUGAAUAUGAUCUUGCGCUUUUCUAUACAGGUCAAAGUACAUGUUGAAAAUGUCCUUUUGUCCAAAAAGCUAUACACAGUGUGUGUGUGCGUGUGUGCGUGUGUGUAUGCGAGCAUGAAUUUGUGUAGGUGUGUAUUUCUGUAUUUAGUGCACUUGUAAUCCCAUGAAAUAGGCUUGAAUAUGGAGUGUUGGUAGAGAUUUUGGUGAAUUUGAUUGUGUGCUGUGGAAUUUUGUACUAAGGGGGUCUGUAGAAAGUGGAGCCCCCUACCAGUUUUUAAAAAUCAUUCUUUUCAUUACUUCAGCUUUUGUGUGAAAUGAGGAUUUCUGACAUUAGAAGGAGAACGUCCUCAAAGAGGUUUACAAAUAGAAGUCAUUGUCAGGCCCUGGUCUGAGGUACAACAGGAUGAUCCAAAAACGUAGAUUUUAUUUAGAUGCUCUAGAAACGGUUAAAUCUAUGAAUACUUAUUGAAUAAUGUCAGUAAUGGACAAAAUGAUUUUUUUAUUCCUUUAAAGUUUUUACCUAGGUUGCCAAGAGUUCUGAAUCUAAACUAUUAUUCUGUCUCUUUUCCCCCCUGGUGUAUUAACUGUGCAUUAAUACCCCUCAAAUAAUUAAUAAAAUGUUGACAAAGAUUUGACUGACUGACUUGUUUUCUUGUGUUUGGAUUUAUUAAAUCUCAGACAUCACCCCAAAGUCAAUAGAG